rnacentral:miRNA from 2 species
AUUUUGGUCGGUGGUUAGAGUCA